rnacentral:tRNA from 1 species
GGUGAUGUAACUCAGUGGUAGAGCACUUGACUAGCACGCGUGAUGCCCUGGGUUUGGUCCCCAGCAACACCA